rnacentral:rRNA from 1 species
AACGUAGGGGACAAGCGUUAUCCGGAUUUACUGGGCGUAAAGCGCCCGUAGGCGGCCUGACAAGUUGGACGUGAAAGCUCCUGGCUUAACUGGGAGAGGCCGUUCAAAACUGUCAAGCUAGAGUCUGGAAGAGGAGAGCGGAAUUCCCGGUGUAGUGGUGGAAUGCGUAGAGAUCGGGAGGAACACCAGUGGCGAAAGCGGCUCUCUGGUCCAAAACUGACGCUGAGGGGCGAAAGCGUGGGGAGCGAUCCGG